CUGUUUUGACAGGUGUACCCAGGAUUGGUGUAGUAUUGCCAGCUCAGCCCUGGCCUGGGGAAUGGAGCUGGGGGAGGGGCAGGAGCUUUGCCCAGCCCCAUCCUGUUCUGCAGGAAGGAGGAGGGGUUGCCAGCAGGACCUGAGAAGGUACUGGGCAAGCCUCCUCACUGCCUGUGUUACUACCAUCUCUCUCCCUGUGUCCUUCUGCCAUCAGCUCUACACCAGCCAGGCAAUCCUUCACUGCCACUCCAGUUUCAGAGCCUCAGCAAAUGUCUGAGCGUAGGAGACAAGCUCCCUUUUAAGUGGGGUGUUCAAUUUACCUGGAAAGUUUCUUCCAGAUAAGAGAAGCUGUGCACGUGGUGACUUGAAGAUCAGGAGGAGUGCUGGCCAACAGACAUAACUUAAAAGUGUACCUCAGAGGCCACACACAUGGCAUCUUCUCACUGAAAUGGUGCAGGAGACUUUCAGUCCCCACAGAAACAAUCAGUGCCUGGCUUUGUUGUAUAAACAUAAAAUCAAACAGCAAUUAAACACUUUCUCCCCUA